UACUAUUAUUAGGAUUUUGAUAAGAUAAUAGUGCAGAAGUUUCUGUUACAAACAAACGAAAAGAACAAGAUCGAAAUUCCAAUGAAACGCACAAACUCCUUUCUCUGCAUACAUAUGCUAAUUCACGAUCAACAGUAAUUGUCUCUUCUCCUCGAUGACGGAAGAUGGAAAGCAAGAUCGAAUCUCCUUGAAGGGAGAUGGAGAGAGGCAAGCCAUGCGGUUCUCCAGGGCUUAUCAGUUCAUGCCAGGCAGUCGUGCAAUGCGUUGUCUCGUCUUACAAUUUUAAUUGUGUCUUAAAUAUUAUGUGUGACAUAAAUUAAACGGAUAUAUACAUAUAUUUACAUGUGCCAAUUCAUUGACUUUUGCUGAUCAAGCAGCAAUUAUCGAAAGCACACGUUCUCCAAUCGAAGAUUUUCAGCUACGUCGCGCUUUAACACGACCGGAAGAAGCUUCUUCAGAAAAAGCCGAAUCAAUUUGGAUCUGCGAAUGUAUUUCUCAGUAUGGAUAUUCUUAUUUAUGCAAUUCACAACACAAUAUAUUUUCGGCGAGAAAACUAUCCCAGAUUUCGUACAUGGACCAUGCGAAGGUUACAAACAGGGUGAAGAUGAUCUUCAAACAAUUGACUUUAUCAGUAAAUUGAAAUUGGAUCUUUUGGAGACACAUUAUACUGGUGUGACACGAGUAAGAGGUAGUAAUCGUAUGCAAACAGCCUACAGAUUGGAAAAAGACACUGACAUUACUCUGCCAAUCAAGAAUAUAUUUCCAAAUGGAUUGCCAGAGGAAUUUAGUGUAGUUUGCACAUUCAGAGCCAGAAAACUAUCGAAAUAUACUUGGCAUAUUAUCAAAAUCGUCGACAUGGAAAACGAGCCCCAAUUUUUAAUCGCAAUGAACCCAAAAGGUCAAACUUUGGAUUUGUUCGUGAAAAGCCAAACUGGUGAAAUGCAAAUAGUAUCGUUCUCAGCCGAUCAUAUAUUCGAUAAAAAUUGGCAUAAAAUUGAUAUUGGAGCCUUCAAGGAUAGGCUGGUGAUAUAUAUCGAUUGCGAAUAUAUUGGCACACAAGACGUAAAGCCAUGGGGUCCGAUCAAAGUGGAUGGUGAGAUCUCGAUAUCAAAGAUGUCGCACAGUAAGCUCACUAUACCGAUCGAUAUACAAUGGAUGGUCUUAAAUUGCGAUCCUACGAGACCUGAGAGAGAGACCUGUGAGGAAUUACUGAAGAGCCUUAGCAGCCCUUUAUUACCUCAGAGAAGACUUAGCUGUGAAAUUAUCUGUCCACAGGGAUCUCCUGGAAUUAAUGGCACUAAUGGUUUACCUGGUUUACCCGGAUUACCUGGGCCACCUGGACCAAUCGGAAAACCCGGUUUACCUGGACAUCCGGGUUUACAAGGACCGCCUGGCGAGCAAGGCAAAAUAGGGCCGCAAGGAUUUAUUGGUGCACGAGGAUUUAUUGGCAGUCCAGGUCCUAAGGGGUCUUCUGGACCUAUUGGACCAUCUGGUCCAAAAGGAGAACGUGGAGAAAGAGGUGACAUGGGAUUUCCAGGAUUGAAAGGAGAUCAAGGUCUUCCAGGGCCACGAGGUUAUCCAGGACCUCCAGGAAAUAUUAGCAACUAUCGCGAUUUUCUAUCACGAUUUACAGGAUUACCAGGACAAAAUGGUUCAAAAGGAGAGAAAGGGGAUCGUGGCGAUAAAGGAGAACAAGGCCAAAAAGGUGAAGCAGGAGAAAAAGGUUAUCCAGGUCAAAACGGAUUUCCUGGAAUAGAGGGAAAAUCAGGACUUCCUGGUUUUCCAGGUCUUAAAGGAGAAAUAGGAUUUCCUGGGAUACCGGGUCCGCAGGGAUUACCAGGUCCUCCAGGUAAAAUUGGAGCUCCUGGAAUUCAAGGAGCAAAAGGAGAAGUUGGAGAACCCGGUCGUGAUGGUUUACCAGGUUCAAUAGUUGGUUCAAUAAUACCAGGACAGCCUGGUCCUCAAGGUUCUCCUGGAAUACCUGGAGAAGACGGUCUUCCAGGAAUAAAAGGAGAACCUGGUCCUAUUGGUCCACCGGGUCUUCCAGGAUUACAAGGAAAAAACGGUCCUCCUGGUUCUCCAGGACCACCGGGAUUACAAGGUUUAUCUGGAGAACCAGGUUCUCCAGGUUCUCAAGGAGUAGAUGGUCCUAUUGGAAAACCAGGAUUACCAGGACUCGAUGGACAACCUGGAAAUAAAGGUGAUAAAGGUCAGCAAGGAGAACAAGGAUCUGUCGGGCCACGUGGUUUACCUGGAAGUAUUGGUGCACCAGGUUUACCUGGAGUUGCUGGUAUUCCAGGCUUAGAAGGACGAUCAGGUUUACCAGGUCCUCCAGGACCUCCUGGACCACCGGGUUCACCUGGAACUAUAGACAUGUUAAGUACAAAUAAUGUAUUAGAAACUAUUGGUAGUCCAGGAGUUAGUGGACCCAGAGGUCUACCAGGUACACCAGGAUUACCAGGUGAGAGAGGACCUUCUGGAGAAAGAGGUCCAGAAGGUAAAAUAGGAUUACCUGGAAUACCAGGAAAAGAUGGAGCUCCAGGACUUCAAGGACCACCAGGAAUUAGGGGACAAACUGGAAUACCAGGAGUUCAAGGACCACCAGGCCGAAGUAUUACCGAUUCAGAAAUUCGAGAUAUAUGUGCCAGUGUGUUACGAGUCAAUCGAUCGGAAAUUAACAACUCAUAUGACUGUGUACAUCGAUAAAGGCGAUGGAAUCUUGCAUGUGUCACAGAGAAGCUGAAAGAACUAACAGAAGGUCUACGAGGACCACCCGGGUUGCCGGGGUUGGCCCGACAGGGCCGUCCCGGUCGAGCCGGAACCCAAGGCAUCCCAGGUGAUCCAGGUCUUCCAGGUUUACCUGGGGAACGUGGUUUUAUUGGUUUACCAGGACCACAAGGCCAUAUAGGACCUCAAGGUCCACCUGGUGAACGGGGA
rnacentral:misc_RNA from 1 species